rnacentral:lncRNA from 1 species
UUUCCCUUUUGAAGCCCUCAGAUAGUUCGCUGGAAUUUUAAUUUUAAUGGCAAUUUCUUGCAUCUGUUGUAACAGCAUUCGUAUGACCAGCUUAUAAGCAAUGAUCAGGGCUAGUAAGAUGUCACAGAGCUGCGGUGACUUUUCCUUAUCAGUUGGGGGUUCUUUUGCCAUGAAACCAUCGUGGAAAUGGAAGACAACGUGAAAAUCCUGCGUCCUUGUGAUAUUUCAUCAGUGGGAGUCAGCGGGGAUCUUAACGCAGUGAGAGGCAAGAUAAAUGGAUGAGAGGCAUCAGCUCAGGCUUACAGGGCCAAGAUGUUUUUAGUCAGUGUUUAAGAUAGCUCUCUAAACUUGGAGCAGUGAAAUCCAAAAACGAGUGUCUUUUGAGGGCAGCUGGAAGAUAACCCGAGAGGAACUUUUAUCCUGGGGUGGAGUCCUGCGAAGCAAGCCGCAGGUGAGGGCGUGGGCCAGUCCUGCGCCUCACUGCUAUUAGGCGCAAGGACAUUCCGAAACACACUCAACGACACCAGCAGCGAGCCUCACAGAAGUGGCUCGCCAGCGGGAACAACAACUUGAGGCGAGCCGUUAGCCGCCUCGCCUUCCCCGCAGCGCCCCUCCCUCUCCCCGGGAAGCCCGUUCGGCUCCGCCUUUUCGGCUGACGUCCCGGGCGAGCGGGGGAGGGCGCGUGGGUGGGCCGAGCCGUCUGCAGCCAGCGAUUCGGCUGGCUCUGCCACACCACCGCGCGCCCCCGCUCCGCCCGCCCCUCCGGGCGCGUCUUUUCCGGGAUCGCGCUGAGCCCCGCCUCCGCCGGCUGUCCGGGUGCGCGCGCGCCGCUGCGGCUUUUUCUCUGGCCUCCGUGGCGCGCUUCUCCUCGUCCCAGCGCUAGCGGGCACGCGGUUCCUUUUUGCGAGCUUCCCGAGUGCCAGGCGCCGGCCGGCUGCGAAGACGCGGUGGGCCGCCCCUCCGGCAUACUGUAUUGUCGGCUUCCAAAGAUUACUAACUUAUCUGUAUCACUGAGAUUGAACUGCCUUGGCUGUACUGCUAUUCUUACUGCUGCUUCUAUUAUUGCCUUCUUCAGCANCUUUAAAAACCAUCAAGACCAUAUAUGAUUAAGAUUUUCCCUCCAUUUCUCCUAAAAAAAAGUAAGUUAGUAAAUUUCACUAAAUGAUUGAGAUGUAAUCAGUGGUUCAGACUUUAUGGCAGUUGCUGCCAAAUGUUUCUUCAUUUUUUAAAUAACC